UUCCGCUCACCAAGCGAAUACUUUUUGUAUGGAGGUCAAUGAGACAGUGUCGAAUUUGGUUAACAAAAAAUGUAAUGGCUUAUUUGCUACGUGUGGAUUAUUUGAUCGAGUAGAAGUUUCGUAAUGAUUAGGUUGUUACGAGUGUACUGAUAUAAGUAGGACACAUGACAUACCGGAAACUUUGAGAAAAAACACUUAAUAUCGGUGUUGUGCGAUAUAAGUAGGACACAUGACAUACCGGCAACUUUGAGAAAAAACACUUAAUAUCGGUGUUGUGCGAUAUAAGUAGGACACAUGACAUACCGGCAACUUUGAGAAAAAACACUUAAUAUCGGUGUUGUGCCUGGUCAUCACUAGUUACCACAGCCACAAAGUCAUAAACCCUGCCCUGUAGAAGUCUACAACGUAUCUUCUUAAAAUGUGAUUUUAAACCUAACCCAAACCGUAACCACACUGCUAAGCUUAUUCAUAACCCAGACCUUAAAUUAAACCAAUAUGCACAUUUUUGUUAUGAUGAAUGUUGAUUAUUUUGACUUUGUGGCUGUGGUAACUAGUGGAAACCAUUAUGCCUGUCUGUUCUCUCAUUGGCUAGAAUGGUCUGACAGACUUGCCUCUUCCCGUCGACCUUGUAUUUUUUGAAUAAAUGUAUUUUCAUUGAUAAUAACAACUCGUUCAUAACCAAGUGGGAAGGUGGUAUUUACCACAUAUGACAGGAAAAAAAUUCAGUUGAAUGGCCCUUCUACUGGUAAAUUACUCAUUUUUUGUGAGAAAAUAAAAUGAUGCAUAGCUCGAACAUUGUACAAAACAAUAUACAAAUAUCAAACAUAACAAAAUACCCCCCAAAAUACAAUAAAUCCAGAGAGACACAAAAAAAUUACAUUUUGAUAAAUUUUGACAUUUUCAGAUAUAGUAUACUAUAAAAGUAUAGUAUAAAAAUACUAAUUUUGUCAGAAAGACGUAUUCAUUACAAGUUAAAGCAUACUGUUCGCUAGCUAGCUAAUGUUAGCUGGCUGUCUCGCUAGUUAACGUUACUUACGUGUAUGAUCUGUGGAGUAAUAUUAUUUGUAUCAGAGCCAUUUGCAUUGCUAGUUAUAGCCUAAUGUUAGCUAGCUUGCUAACAUUGAACCUGGUUGGCUAGCUAACCUGAAGAUUCAUGCAGGUUAGUAACAUUAUGAGUUGGGAUUAAAUAAAAUCACAUUUUAUUUGUCACAUACACGUGUUUAGCAGAUGAUAUUGCGGGUGUAGCGAAAUGCUUGUGUGAAGUUCCUUGAGGGCCGUCAUAGUAUCGGCUUGAGGGGGGAUAUACACAGCUGUGACAAUAACCCAAGAGAAUCCUCUUGGGAGAUAAUACGGUCGGCAUUUGAUUGUGAGGUAUUCUAGUUCGGGUUGAGUUGAGGAGUUGAGUUUCUGUAUGUGAUUACAAUUACACCAUGAGUCGUUAAUCAUGAAACAUACACCCCCCCCCCCUUCUUUUUCCCGGAGAGAUUUUUAUUCCUGUCGACCCAAAGACUGAGAAUCCAGAUGGCUGGUCCGACUCCGACAGUAUAUGCCGGGAGAGCUAUGUUUCCAUGAUACAUUUUAUGUUUACAAUCCCUGAUGUCUCUCUGGUAAUACUGCAUUGGUCCUCACAGAAUGCUGACACCACUAUUUGAAGCAUCAGAGAGUUCUUGUUUUUUGUUGUUGGUGGUGACGUUGGGUCCGGGUGCCACCACCGAUGGAACCAGGGGUGCCUCAGCUGGCUCUUAGGGCUUCCACGCCUUAGCUGGCUCGAGAGGUUUCCUUGCUUCGGUUGGCUCGGCAGGCUCCCAUCCCAUGUCAUGCCUCAGCUGGCUCGUUGGGCUCCCACGCCUCGGCCGACCCGUAGGGCUCCCACUCCUCAGCCGGCCCGUCGGGCUCCCACGCCUCAGCCGGCUCGUCGGGCUUAUAUACCUCAGCCGGCUUGUCCAGCGCCCAUGCCUUGGCCGUCCCGUCAGGCUUGCCCAGGUUGGACGUCGGGUGAAAUCCUAUAGAUGGUGAGGUACUGUCACGCCUGCUCCCACUCCCCCUAUCUGGUGCUUGAGGGCCCUUAAUUACGCACACAUAUCACCAUAAUUACACGCAUCAGCGCUCAUUGGACUCACCUGGACUCCUUUAUGUUGUUGACCGCCCCCUCCAUAUCUGUCAUGCCUCGGCCGGCCCGUCAGGCUUGCUCCGGUGGGACGCCGGGUGGCGCCCUUAGAUGGUGAGGUACUGUCACGCCUGCUCCCGCUCCCCCUAUCUGGCGCUUGAGGGCCCUUCAUUACGCACACAUGUCACCAUAAUUACACGCAUCAGCGAUCAUUGGACUCACCUGGACUCCUUUACGUUGUUGACCGCCUCUUCUAUAUUUGUCUGUUCCUCAGUUUUGUUCCCAGUGUCAGCAUUAUUGUCGUAAGGUAAUUUUGUUCCCCCUGUCCAGACGCUGUUCUUGUUUUGUUUGAUGUCCGUUUUCCAUUAAAUGUUCACUCCCUGUACUUGCUUCUCGUCUCCUGCAUCGGUCCUCACAGAUGUGUUGUGUUGGAUUUACCCCCAACAUAGUGCUUUGUAUUCAGGACAAAAAGUUAAUUUCUUUGCCACAUUUUUUACAGUAUUACUUAAGUGCCUUGUUAUAAACAGGAUGCAUGUUAUGGAGUAUUUAUAUUAUGUGCAGGUGUCUUCUUUCAAUCAAAUUAAUCAAAUUGUGAUUAAGGUUAAUAUUGUAAGGUAUCUACAAUGUUGUUGAUCCAUUCUCAGUUUUCUCAUAUCACAACCAUUCAACUCUGUAACUGUUUUAAAAUCACCUUUGGCCUCAUGGUGAAAUCCUGAGCAAUUUCCUUCCUCUCCGGCUUGUGAGUUAGGAAGGACGUCUGUAUCUUUGUAGUGACUGUGUGUAUUGAUUCACCAUCCAAAGUCUAAUUAAUAACUUCACCAUGCUCAAAGGGAUAUGAAGGUUUAUUUUUUAUAUAUAUUUUUUUACACCUACCUUCUUUACGAGGCCUUGAAAAACCUCUCUAAUUUUUGUGGUUGAAUCUGUGCUUGAAAUUCCCUCCUCAAUUGAUGGGUCUUACAGAUAAUUGUGUGUGGUCUACAGAGAUGUGGUCAUUGUUAAAAAAUCAUGUUAACUACUAUUAUUGAACACAGAAUGGACUCAAGACAUUUCAACAACAACACAAAUUCACUUUGACCAUGAUGGGGUAUUGUAUGUAGAUCAGUGACACAAAAUCAACAUUUUAUACAUUUGAAAUUCAGGCUGUAACAACAAAAUGUGGAAAAAGUAAAGGGUUGUGAAUACUUUCUUAACAUAAAUCUUCAAUAAUGUUCCAGCUGGAGAAUUCAUUUGUCUGUAGAAAUGCAAUGGAACAGAGCGUGGUCAGCUCAUGGCACUCUGCCAGAGCCCUGACUCAUUCCCCUCUCAUUCGGCCCCACUUCACAGUAGAAGCAUCAAACAAGGUUCUAAAGACUGUUGACAUCUAGUGGAAGCCAUAGGAAGUGCAAUAUGACCAAUAUCCCACUGUGUAUUCGAUAGGCCAAGAGUUGAAAACUACAAACCUCAGAUUUCCCACUUCCUGGUUGGAUUUGUUCUCAGGUUUUUGCUUGCCAUAUGAGUUAUGUUAUACUCACAGACAUCAUUCAAACAGUUUUAGAAACUUCAGAGUGUUUUCUAUCCAAAUAUACCAAUAAUAUGCAUAUCUUAGCUUCUGGGACUGAGUAGAAGGCAAUUUACUCUGGACACCUUAUUCAUCCAAGCUACUUACUACUGCCCCCAGCCAUAAGAUGUUAAGGCACUGCAUGUAUACCUCAUCAUCAGCCCAUUUUAUAGGUAAAUUGCAGGGUAAUGUAAAAGUUGUAUAUUUUAAAGAUACACUACGUAAUAUGGUGCACGCCAUAAUUGGGUUUUAAUCCAGAGGCCAGACAAAUUAUCUGGGUCUUGUUUUAGUAACAGUGAAAUCAGAACUUCUUGCUGAGUACCUGACAGACUAGUUAAAGUAACCUAAAAAUUGAGCUUUGAGUACAUCAAAAAAAUAGUUGAUAUACUGUACCUUUACCGGUAUACCAUGAAGCCCUGGAGUUUUUCCAGACUGAAAGGAUUUAAUAGCCUCGAAGUUAUUUCUCUGUAAUUUGGCCUUCGCACAAAUCUUUUAGGGAUUUGUUAACUCAUUCAUUUAUUUAUUAGGAAAUAAAAUCCUUUAAUCCUUCAUCAUUCAGUG